rnacentral:rRNA from 1 species
GGGUUGUGAGGUUAAGCGACUAAGCGUACACGGUGGAUGCCCUGGCAGUCAGAGGCGAUGAAGGACGUGCUAAUCUGCGAUAAGCGUCGGUAAGGUGAUAUGAACCGUUAUAACCGGCGAUUUCCGAAUGGGGAAACCCAGUGUGUUUCGACACACUAUCAUUAACUGAAUCCAUAGGUUAAUGAGGCGAACCGGGGGAACUGAAACAUCUAAGUACCCCGAGGAAAAGAAAUCAACCGAGAUUCCCCCAGUAGCGGCGAGCGAACGGGGAGCAGCCCAGAGCCUGAAUCAGUGUGUGUGUUAGUGGAAGCGUCUGGAAAGGCGCGCGAUACAGGGUGACAGCCCCGUACACAAAAAUGCACAUGCUGUGAGCUCGAUGAGUAGGGCGGGACACGUGGUAUCCUGUCUGAAUAUGGGGGGACCAUCCUCCAAGGCUAAAUACUCCUGACUGACCGAUAGUGAACCAGUACCGUGAGGGAAAGGCGAAAAGAACCCCGGCGAGGGGAGUGAAAAAGAACCUGAAACCGUGUACGUACAAGCAGUGGGAGCACGCUUAGGCGUGUGACUGCGUACCUUUGUAUAAUGGGUCAGCGACUUAUAUUCUGUAGCAAGGUUAACCGAAUAGGGGAGCCGAAGGGAAACCGAGUCUUAACUGGGCGUUAAGUUGCAGGGUAUAGACCCGAAACCCGGUGAUCUAGCCAUGGGCAGGUUGAAGGUUGGGUAACACUAACUGGAGGACCGAACCGACUAAUGUUGAAAAAUUAGCGGAUGACUUGUGGCUGGGGGUGAAAGGCCAAUCAAACCGGGAGAUAGCUGGUUCUCCCCGAAAGCUAUUUAGGUAGCGCCUCGUGAAUUCAUCUCCGGGGGUAGAGCACUGUUUCGGCAAGGGGGUCAUCCCGACUUACCAACCCGAUGCAAACUGCGAAUACCGGAGAAUGUUAUCACGGGAGACACACGGCGGGUGCUAACGUCCGUCGUGAAGAGGGAAACAACCCAGACCGCCAGCUAAGGUCCCAAAGUCAUGGUUAAGUGGGAAACGAUGUGGGAAGGCCCAGACAGCCAGGAUGUUGGCUUAGAAGCAGCCAUCAUUUAAAGAAAGCGUAAUAGCUCACUGGUCGAGUCGGCCUGCGCGGAAGAUGUAACGGGGCUAAACCAUGCACCGAAGCUGCGGCAGCGACGCUUAUGCGUUGUUGGGUAGGGGAGCGUUCUGUAAGCCUGUGAAGGUGUGCUGUGAGGCAUGCUGGAGGUAUCAGAAGUGCGAAUGCUGACAUAAGUAACGAUAAAGCGGGUGAAAAGCCCGCUCGCCGGAAGACCAAGGGUUCCUGUCCAACGUUAAUCGGGGCAGGGUGAGUCGACCCCUAAGGCGAGGCCGAAAGGCGUAGUCGAUGGGAAACAGGUUAAUAUUCCUGUACUUGGUGUUACUGCGAAGGGGGGACGGAGAAGGCUAUGUUGGCCGGGCGACGGUUGUCCCGGUUUAAGCGUGUAGGCUGGUUUUCCAGGCAAAUCCGGAAAAUCAAGGCUGAGGCGUGAUGACGAGGCACUACGGUGCUGAAGCAACAAAUGCCCUGCUUCCAGGAAAAGCCUCUAAGCAUCAGGUAACAUCAAAUCGUACCCCAAACCGACACAGGUGGUCAGGUAGAGAAUACCAAGGCGCUUGAGAGAACUCGGGUGAAGGAACUAGGCAAAAUGGUGCCGUAACUUCGGGAGAAGGCACGCUGAUAUGUAGGUGAAGUCCCUCGCGGAUGGAGCUGAAAUCAGUCGAAGAUACCAGCUGGCUGCAACUGUUUAUUAAAAACACAGCACUGUGCAAACACGAAAGUGGACGUAUACGGUGUGACGCCUGCCCGGUGCCGGAAGGUUAAUUGAUGGGGUUAGCGGUAACGCGAAGCUCUUGAUCGAAGCCCCGGUAAACGGCGGCCGUAACUAUAACGGUCCUAAGGUAGCGAAAUUCCUUGUCGGGUAAGUUCCGACCUGCACGAAUGGCGUAAUGAUGGCGGGCUGUCUCCACCCGAGACUCAGUGAAAUUGAACUCGCUGUGAAGAUGCAGUGUACCCGCGGCAAGACGGAAAGACCCCGUGAACCUUUACUAUAGCUUGACACUGAACAUUGAGCCUUGAUGUGUAGGAUAGGUGGGAGGCUUAGAAGUGUGGACGCCAGUCUGCAUGGAGCCGACCUUGAAAUACCACCCUUUAAUGUUUGAUGUUCUAACGUUGACCCGUAAUCCGGGUUGCGGACAGUGUCUGGUGGGUAGUUUGACUGGGGCGGUCUCCUCCUAAAGAGUAACGGAGGAGCACGAAGGUUGGCUAAUCCUGGUCGGACAUCAGGAGGUUAGUGCAAUGGCAUAAGCCAGCUUGACUGCGAGCGUGACGGCGCGAGCAGGUGCGAAAGCAGGUCAUAGUGAUCCGGUGGUUCUGAAUGGAAGGGCCAUCGCUCAACGGAUAAAAGGUACUCCGGGGAUAACAGGCUGAUACCGCCCAAGAGUUCAUAUCGACGGCGGUGUUUGGCACCUCGAUGUCGGCUCAUCACAUCCUGGGGCUGAAGUAGGUCCCAAGGGUAUGGCUGUUCGCCAUUUAAAGUGGUACGCGAGCUGGGUUUAGAACGUCGUGAGACAGUUCGGUCCCUAUCUGCCGUGGGCGCUGGAGAACUGAGGGGGGCUGCUCCUAGUACGAGAGGACCGGAGUGGACGCAUCACUGGUGUUCGGGUUGUCAUGCCAAUGGCACUGCCCGGUAGCUAAAUGCGGAAGAGAUAAGUGCUGAAAGCAUCUAAGCACGAAACUUGCCCCGAGAUGAGUUCUCCCUGACUCCUUGAGAGUCCUGAAGGAACGUUGAAGACGACGACGUUGAUAGGCCGGGUGUGUAAGCGCAGCGAUGCGUUGAGCUAACCGGUACUAAUGAACCGUGAGGCUUAACCUUACAACGCCGAAG